rnacentral:tRNA from 1 species
GCCUGGGUGGCUCAGUGGUUGAGCAUCUGCCUUUGGCUCAGGAUGUGAUCCUGUGGUCCCAGGAUUGAGUCCUACCUCGGGCU